UUUUUUUUUUAUUUUCCGAGGUUAGAGUUUCAAUUGUAGUAGUAUCAGCAAGAUAUAAAUGGCUUCUGAUAUGAUUUUGUUAAACGAUAAAGGAAAGACGGAAACGAAAGAGGAUAAUAGAGAAAGACGAAAACUCGCUUUUAUCAUAAAAGAAUUGAUAGUCACGGAUGAAGGAGGAGUAGGCGCCUUGAUCUGACGGAAGGAAGUAAUAAAUGUGUACCAUCAACUGGGUAACAACAGUUACAAGAAGGGGCUACAAGUUUGAGUCAUGGUGGUAUAGGUAGUUCCAGAAAACUACCACCUUCAAAAACUCCUUAAGUUCUUUUGACUGGCUUGCAAAAGAUCGCUUGGUAUGAAAUAAGGACAAUGACAAAGUAUUCCAAUGUAUCAGUACUGAUGUUUGAAAAUAUUAGAACAAAAAAACAAUCAUUGAUCAGAUUCAGGAUUGGAGGCGUAUGCAAGACACCGAAGUGCCCAUUAACGGAAGCUUGUAGAAUUUCGUUGUAUUCCAUGUCAAAUGUCUUUUUUUUUUCUUUUUCUUAUUUCUCUUUGCAAGAUAGUAGAUAUAGAUUAGGUAUUACAGAAUUUUGUUAAUUAGUUCUUUUCUUUCUUUCUCUUUCUUACCUUGGUGGCAUAUUGGAAUGUUUGUACAUAAACACUCGUUCAAGUUAAUAUGAGUUUCAUUUUUGAAAAUUUCCUACCAAA